rnacentral:rRNA from 1 species
GACGAACGCUGGCGGCGUGCUUAACACAUGCAAGUCGAACGGAAAGGCCCUGCUUUUGUGGGGUGCUCGAGUGGCGAACGGGUGAGUAACACGUGAGUAACCUGCCCUUGACUUUGGGAUAACUUCAUGAAACUGGGGCUAAUACCGGAUAGUAGCUCCUGCUGCAUGGUGGGGGUUGGAAAGUUUCGGCGGUUGGGGAUGGACUCGCGGCUUAUCAGCUUGUUGGUGGGGUAGUGGCUUACCAAGGCGUUGACGGGUAGCCGGCCUGAGAGGGUGACCGGCCACAUGGGGACUGAGAUACGGCCCAGACUCCUACGGGAGGCAGCAGUGGGGAAUAUUGCACAAUGGGCGGAAGCCUGAUGCAGCAACGCCGCGUGCGGGAUGACGGCCUUCGGGUUGUAAACCGCUUUCGCCUGUGACGAAGCGUGAGUGACGGUAAUGGGUAAAGAAGCACCGGCUAACUACGUG